ensembl:lncRNA
CUCCAAACGUCUGAGAGCUAGGCUAAGCUAGUAGACUCGUCAUAGCGGCUGCAGAAAAAAGAGAAGAAAAAAAAACAGCUACUCCAACCUGCGCAACUAUGCCUACUGACUGUAAGUAUUCAUAUGAGUGUAAUAUAUUAUUAUUAUUAUUAUAUCAUGACUAUGACCAUGUGUAUACGCGGCCCAUAUCUGAUUGAUACAUAGUUUUUCCGCAGUGAUUUCUGACGUCGGCUCUGAGAGCGUGAAAAGGCAUCAGGGUCCACGCGCACCAGGUGCAUAUGAUAUUCGGUUGAAUAAUCAAAGAACAAUACUCGGAGAUCGGACCAAUGCGGAGGCCUGUGGUAGUUAUGUGCCUAUCGUGAAUAGUGUGAAACAGUGGACCCCUGGAUCAAACCGUCUAACCAAGAAAAACCUUAAAAGACCGAACCGUGCUCUGCCUCUACCCUGCUCGCCGCUAACAGUGGUGCAACAGCAGAUCCCGUAUAAAAAGGGGCGCAAGGACACCGCUGAUAGUGUUUUAGCUCCAGAGAAUUAUAACUUGGUUCUCCAGGCAGUUAUAAACCCACAAAUCGCGCAGCCAGGGACCGUAUGGUCUGAGUCCAAACAACAAGUGGUCGGGGCGGUGGAUGUGCAUGUGUCUGCGCCGCCUGCAGAGACCAUUACUGCACAGCCGGAUGGAUGCAUUCAGCAUGUCCUUGGUGACCCUCAGUAUGCACUACUACCAGAACUGACCGAUGAGGAUAUCGAGGCUCUCGCCGACAUUCCGUUGUGGCCCUCAGCGCUGUUGGAACAGCUCGACUUCACUCCAGCUCAGUGGAUAGACCCUCCAGCUACUUCC